rnacentral:rRNA from 1 species
UAAUACGGAGGAUGCAAGCGUUAUCCGGAUUCAUUGGGUUUAAAGGGUGCGUAGGCGGAUUAAUAAGUCAGUGGUGAAAUCCUACAGCUUAACUGUAGAACUGCCAUUGAUACUGUUAGUCUUGAAUUUGGUUAAGGUAGGCGGAAUGUGUAAUGUAGCGGUGAAAUGCUUAGAUAUUACACAGAACACCAAUUGCGUAGGCAGCUUACUGGACCGACAUUGACGCUGAGGCACGAAAGCGUGGGGAUCGAACAGGAUUAGAUACCCUGGUAGUCCACGCCGUAAACGAUGAUUACUCGCUGUUGGCGAUACACAGUCAGCGGCUAAGCAAAAGCAAUAAGUAAUCCACCUGGGGAGUACGGCCGCAAGGUUGAAACUCAAAGGAAUUGACGG